AUCUUUUCACUUGGAGCAAUGAUGCAGCUAGUGAGGUAAAACCGAGGUGCGCCAAUUGCUAGUUGAAAACUAUUCCCAACCCCCCUCGUUGGCCUGCGCUAUGUUUUGGCCUUCUAGAAUUUUUGGAGGGUCUGCCUUUGGAU
rnacentral:snRNA from 1 species